AAAGUCGUAACAAGGUUUCCGUAGGUGAACCUGCGGAAGGAUCAUCAGUGAACUAAAAAAACACUGUUUUACACACACCCUUUGGUUGCAUCUUUUUUUUGGGUUGGUUUGGGAGGGAAUUUUUCCCCCCCAUUCCUUCCCAAAAAUAUUUUUAUUACCAAAAACAACCCCCCUUUUUUACCCUUUUUCAUACAACAUACCCCAUAAUACAAAACAAAAGACAACUUUUAACAACGGAUCUCUUGGCUCUC
rnacentral:misc_RNA from 1 species